CCAGACUCCUACGGGAGGCAGCAGUGGGGGAUAUUGCACAAUGGGGGCAACCCUGAUGCAGCGACGCCGCGUGAGCGAUGGAGUACUUCGGUAUGUAAAGCUCUGUCAGCAGGGAAGAGAAUGACGGUACCUGACCAAGAAGCCCCGGCUAAAUACGUGCCAGCAGCCGCGGUAAUACGGAGGAUGCGAGCGUUAUCCGGAUUUAUUGGGUUUAAAGGGUGCGUAGGCGGAUUUUUAAGUCAGCGGUAAAAUGUCCGGGCUCAACCCGGGCCGGCCGUUGAAACUGGGGAUCUUGAGUGGGCGAGAAGUAUGCGGAAUGCGUGGUGUAGCGGUGAAAUGCAUAGAUAUCACGCAGAACUCCGAUUGCGAAGGCAGCAUACCGGCGCCCGACUGACGCUGAGGCACGAAAGCGUGGGGAUCGAACAGGAUUAGAUACCCCCGUAG
rnacentral:rRNA from 1 species